rnacentral:rRNA from 1 species
GCACCACAGAGGAGCUUGCUCCUUGGGUGGCGAGUGGCGGACGGGUGAGGAAUACAUCGGAAUCUACUUUUUCGUGGGGGAUAACGUAGGGAAACUUACGCUAAUACCGCAUACGACCUACGGGUGAAAGCAGGGGACCUUCGGGCCUUGCGCGAUUGAAUGAGCCGAUGUCGGAUUAGCUAGUUGGCGGGGUAAAGGCCCACCAAGGCGACGAUCCGUAGCUGGUCUGAGAGGAUGAUCAGCCACACUGGAACUGAGACACGGUCCAGACUCCUACGGGAGGCAGCAGUGGGGAAUAUUGGACAAUGGGCGCAAGCCUGAUCCAGCCAUACCGCGUGGGUGAAGAAGGCCUUCGGGUUGUAAAGCCCUUUUGUUGGGAAAGAAAUCCAGCUGGCUAAUACCCGGUUGGGAUGACGGUACCCAAAGAAUAAGCACCGGCUAACUUCGUGCCAGCAGCCGCGGUAAUACGAAGGGUGCAAGCGUUACUCGGAAUUACUGGGCGUAAAGCGUGCGUAGGUGGUCGUUUAAGUCCGUUGUGAAAGCCCUGGGCUCAACCUGGGAACUGCAGUGGAUACUGGGCGACUAGAGUGUGGUAGAGGGUAGCGGAAUUCCUGGUGUAGCAGUGAAAUGCGUAAAGAUCAGAGGAACAUCCAUGGCGAAGGCAGCUACCUGGAUCACCACCUGA